UGAGUGGCGGACGGGUGAGUAACGCGUGGGCAACCUGCCCUGUACAGGGGGACAACACUUAGAAAUAGGUGCUAAUACCGCAUAACGGGGGGAGCCGCAUGGCACCCCCCUGAAAACUCCGGUGGUACAGGAUGGGCCCGCGUCUGAUUAGCUGGUUGGCAGGGUAACGGCCUACCAAGGCGACGAUCAGUAGCCGGCCUGAGAGGGUGAACGGCCACAUUGGGACUGAGACACGGCCCAGACUCCUACGGAAGGCAGCAG
rnacentral:rRNA from 1 species